CCUACGGGGGGCAGCAGUGGGGAAUAUUGCACAAUGGGGGGAACCCUGAUGCAGCGACGCCGCGUGGGUGAGGAAGUACUUCGGUAUGUAAAGCCCUAUCAGCAGGGAAGAAAAUGACGGUACCUGACUAAGAAGCCCCGGCUAACUACGUGCCAGCAGCCGCGGUAAUACGUAGGGGGCAAGCGUUAUCCGGAUUUACUGGGUGUAAAGGGAGCGUAGACGGCGUGCCAAGUCUGAUGUGAAAGGCCGGGGCUCAACCCCGGGACUGCAUUGGAAACUGGCAUGCUGGAGUGCCGGAGGGGCAAGCGGAAUUCCUAGUGUAGCGGUGAAAUGCGUAGAUAUUAGGAGGAACACCGGUGGCGAAGGCGGCUUGCUGGACGGUAACUGACGUUGAGGCUCGAAAGCGUGGGGAGCAAACAGGAUUAGAUACCCGAGUAGU
rnacentral:rRNA from 1 species